rnacentral:misc_RNA from 1 species
ACAAACCUAUCCGUGAAAAAUGGCGGACGGGUGAAUUACGAUAUAAACAAUACGUAAAUUACUGUAUUACUCUAAGUAAGGCGAAAUGUUGUUGAAUUCUUCUUGUUAGUUACGCCCGAGAAAACUGUUUAAAUCUUAGUAUUGGAUAUAGCUCUGUUAAAUUUUGUUUUUUUUAUAUAUAAACAUUUUUUCUCACUUGUGUGCUAAAGAAUGGAUAACGUCCUCUCAACUAUUCCUCUAACCACUUCUGGAAAUGCUUCAUCAGUUGAUUCAUCUCAAUCGGAUGACAGUCUAACAUAUGAGAAAUUCGAUGACGAGGAUAACGAUGACAACGUUAGUUUGGCAGAAGAAGAUGAAGAGUUCCCAUCUAUAGAAGAGGAUCCUGAACCCCUAGACAUGACAGAAAAUACCUCUAGCAGUAUUCAGACCACAUCGGAGGGCAAACAAGAUAGUCCUCCAGAAGAAGAAGAGAAGCCAGCCAAACGUAAGAGGAAGGAGAAAGAUAAGAAUGGAGAGAAAAAGAAGCGUAAGAAGCAAAAAGACGAAGAUAAGAAGAAAAAGUUGUAUGAAAGGAAAAAUAUUAGAAAAAUAUUAGGAGGAGAGAAAUUGGAGAAAGAAACCCUGGAAGCGUUGAAGGCUGAAGAAGAGAGAAAGAACAGAUUGAAAGAGCAGGAAGAACGACGAAAAGAACAUCAACUGGCAAACAAGAGAGCAGCUGAGGAACGCUACAAAGUUAAGUGUACCCAAUUGAAAUCCUUGCUCGAAGAAGAUAUUUCCGAUAAAGAGGAAAUACAGAUAGAACCUGCCAAAAAACAAGAUGACUAUAUUUGCCUUAGCUCAGACGAUGAAGAUGAAAUCGAUCGUUUGCGACAAAAUCGUUUAAAACAGGAACAGCAAUUGGCGAUUAUGAGGGCUCGAUCAGCCGCAAAAAAUUUACCAUCAAUUCUAAAUAAAUCUGCUCAAUUAGCAACUUCUUCCCCUCAUAUACCAAAGCCAACUAGUAAUGCAAUAUUGAGCUUUGACGAUCCGUUACCCGGAUUAUCAGGUCUAACAAGUAGUGAUGAUGAGGAACCAGACGAAGAAACGACAGGGAAUAAUAAUUACUGUAAUGACACCAUGAAUCUACCAGAUGAUCAAGGCAGAGUUUUGAUAAAUGUAGGUCAUCCAGGCGAUGAGCCCGAUGUAUAUUUGGCCCCACAAAUCGCGAGAAUAAUUAAACCGCACCAAAUUGGAGGAGUACGUUUUCUCUACGACAAUUUAAUUGAAUCUACAACGCGAUUUUCAGCAAGUAACGGAUUUGGUUGCAUUCUGGCCCAUACUAUGGGCCUGGGGAAAACAAUUCAAAUGAUCUCUUUCAUUGAUAUUUUUCUUCGCCACACAAUUUCCAAAACUGUUUUAUGUAUUGUACCUAUUAAUACAUUACAAAACUGGGUCUCGGAGUUCAACAUGUGGAUCCCUCCUAUUCCGGAAUGCGACAUAGAUUACAAAGGAAAUUUAAAAAGGCCAAUAAAUGAUAAUUCCUCAGCUGCAUCUUCAAGCCAGGAAAAUUCUGCAUUCGCUAACGACUUUAUGGGAAAUUCAAUGCAAAAAAAUUUCAAUUUGUCAAAUCAAAAUCCAAGCCAUUUAAUCAGCAAUAAAGCAAAUGGCUCAAAGAAUAAUGGACUGAUGGGACAUGAUCUCUUCAACUCGAAUUCUCCAAAUAAUUUUUCAAAUUUAAAUGAACAAACCGAGAUAAAUAGUAAUGAAAAAGCAAAUGGAAAUGUGUUCGAUAAACUUUUUGAAGAAAAGCCUCAGGAAGUUAGAGAAAGGAAUUUUAAAAUAUUUGUAUUAAAUGAUACUCAUAAAACUAUGGCUGCAAGGCUUAACAUAGUUGGCACCUGGUAUAAAGAAGGAGGUGUUCUUUUGAUGGGUUAUGAAAUGUACAGGUUAUUAAGUUCUAAAAGAGGUCAUAUACCAAAACCCAAACGUCGUAGAAAGAAGGUAUAUGAACCUGAAGUAAUAGAUGUUGAAGAAGAAGAUCGAAACAAGGAUAUGUUAACAAAUAUUCAAGAAGCUUUAUUAGAUCCAGGGCCAGACCUUGUCGUGUGUGACGAAGGUCAUAGAAUAAAGAAUAGUCACGCUAGUAUUGCUCAAGCUCUUAAAGCAAUCCGAACAAAGCGUCGUGUCGUUCUCACCGGGUAUCCCUUACAAAAUAAUCUUAUUGAAUAUUGGUGCAUGGUCGAUUUCGUGCGACCUAAUUAUUUGGGAACAAAGCAAGAAUUUUGCAACAUGUUUGAAAGGCCGAUAACAAAUGGGCAAUGUUUGGAUUCAACACCAGAAGAUAUCAAACUUAUGAAAUAUCGAGCGCACGUACUGCAUAGUUUAUUGGAGGGAUUUGUCCAAAGACGGGGACAUUCAGUUUUAAAAUACACACUUCCCUUAAAAGAAGAAUAUGUUCUUGUAGUAAAGCUAUCAGAAAUACAAAGAAAGUUAUACGAAGCAUUUAUAAACUAUUUAAAUAGUAGCAGCUUGGGUACUUCGUCUGACAAUGGAAAUGCGAUAAAAGCUUUUUCAGUCUGCUGCAAAAUUUGGAAUCAUCCGGAUAUUCUAUACAAAUGUGCCCUCAGCGCCAAUAUGACAGAAGAUUUAGAUGUGGACUUCGACGGGACGAUUAUCAAAAAGUCGGCAAAAAAUAAAAAACGUUUAAUCUCAUCACCAAAACAAAAUUCUCCAUCUGACACAUUUGAGAAUAGCAACGGAUCUGAUUUAAUACAAGCAGCAUAUAACAAGAAAGAAAAAGAGGAACAAAUUAAUUACGAAUGGGCUAACGCUUUACUUCAAACUUACGUGCCUGGUAAUUUAGAAAAUGGAGGAAAGAUGCUAAUCUUAAUGAAUAUAAUAAUGGAGAGUUUAGCUAUCGGAGACAGAGUACUUGUAUUUAGUCAAAGUUUAUUUACGCUGGAUCUAAUCGAAUCCUACUUGGCAAAAAUUAAAGUACCUGGAUAUGACACAAAUUUCUCCAAAAAUAAAUUCUAUUUUCGUCUUGAUGGAUCAACUAAUAGCUUAGAACGAGAGCGUCUGAUUAACGCGUUCAACUCGCCUGACAAUCAAACAGUCAGCAUAUUUAUGCUUUCUACAAGAGCUGGAUGUUUAGGGAUUAAUUUGAUUGGGGCUAAUAGGGUUGUAAUAAUGGAUGCGUCUUGGAAUCCAUGCCAUGACUGUCAAGCUGUUUGUCGUAUUUAUAGAUAUGGACAAACUAAAAGCUGCUACAUUUACCGGCUCGUAUCUGACAACACUAUGGAAAAGAAGAUAUACGAUAGACAAAUCAAUAAACAGGGAAUGGCAGAUAGAGUGGUAGAUGAACUUAACCCAGAAACUCAGUUCAAGAGGGGUCAAGUAGAAAAUCUACUGCAAUACGAUGAUAAAGACCUUCCUACUGUAGAUCCAAAUUGUUGUAGCGAAAUAAAUGAUAGGUUAUUGGAUAGAGUUGUAAGAAAAUGUCAUUAUUUUGUAACAAAAGAACCAUUUACCCAUGAAUCUCUCCUGUUGGAUAGGGAGGAAUCCAAAUUGACAACAGCUGAAAAGAAAUUUGCAAAGCGCAGUUACUUUUUGGAAAAACGUAAUUCAGGAGGCUUUGGCCGAAAUAAUUAUUCUCGGAUGAAUAACCCUAUGUCAUCGAAUAUUAAAUUCGAUUCAAAUAUAAACCGAUAUUCCCAAAUUAAUUUAAGAACAAAUGAAAGUUCAGUUCUACCAAGUAAUUUAACCAUGCCAACUCCAAAGAUAAAGCAAGGUGUUUCAAUUCAACAAAUCAAAACAAAAUCUGACGUGGCAAUACCUGGAACUGAUUCUUCCGGAAAUCCUAAUUGUAUAAAAGCGGGUGAAACAAUUACUGUAAUCAAAACAUCGAAAGGAACGUAUAUAAAAACUAUAAGUGGAAAAUUAUAUGCUGUGAAAAAUAAAUUCGGGCAACUUGGAAAUGUAUCACCAAAGUUUAGUUCGAAUUUAGCUGACGGCUCGCAAUCGAAAACCGUUAUCCAAGAACCUUUGGCAACAGGUGAUGAUAUUUCUAUAAUAGGUGAAAGAUCAGAACCAUCUUCAUCUCCAUUUGCGUCAAGUUUGGAUAGUCUGCUAGAGAGACGUUCAUCUAUUCUGUCUAAUUUAUUAUCUUCAACAAGUGCGACAUUAGAAGACGCAAAACAAUGCAAAACUCAUGAUAGUGGAGAUUCUAUGUCAAGUACAUUGACUAGUCAAGCCACAAAAAGUGAAGCAGAUGAUUACAUUCAAAAUAUCCUAAAUUCGGCACAUUCAACGACAGCAUCUGCUUCAACGCAAAACCAACCGAAAGAUGAUUUAGCAUUAGACUUUAAGAAAUACUUUAAAAAUUUUGAUGGUGCAUCUCCGUCGUCGUCAUCGUCGUCCCAAUGGAGCACAAAUGAUUCCUCUGCGAAUCGGACACCGUCCGUAAACUUUCAACAACCGUACUAUAGCAAUGCCAGCUUUCCUACAAAUCAACAGCAAUUAAACUUAAAUCAGUUUGCCAACUCGUUUCCAAACAAUGUUUCCUUCGGUCAGCCCCCUCACUACAACUACUCUUUUCCUACUAACUUCUCCGGGCAGCAACCUUCGUAUAGUGAACUUUAUUCUAAUUUAUUUUCUGAUCAACGUUCAUCACAAGGACAGUAUUCUUACGAUCAGCGUUAAAUAUUUGUAUAAAAAACAAAAACAAAAAAUGACAAGCCAUAAAUAUUGUAGUCGUACAUACACACUAGACGUUUCUUCUCAAAAGAAACUUACUUUAUAUAUCUGAAAGGAACAAGAUUGAAAGUAUUAAUUUAUUGCUUAAUUACUUCACCUGUCUUUGCUUCCUUUUUUUCAUUUCUUUUAUAUUGUCGAUUUAUGUUAAAUCAGCAAUAAUAAAGUAAAAUACUUUUUUUUCAAACAGUGAUUAAAUGUCUUUGAUAUUUCAAUUUUGUCCUUUCGGGGUAUGAAUUAAAUUCUGUCAAUUUUAAAUUCUUUUGUUUUUGUCUUUCGUAGAACAAAAAAAAAAAAUCACUUUAAUCGAUAUAUCAUUAAUUAUUUCACAAUUUUCAGUUUUUUUUGUGGGUAUAUAAAUGUGAAAAAUAAUUUUGUUUGAUAAAUCUAUUAUCUAUUAUUUGAUUGAUAAACUUUAAAGAAACAUUUCCUUCGAUCUCUAAAUGUUUUGUAUUGAUAUGAAUUUUUGUUUGUUUACUUUUAUUGUUCAAUUGCUUUUUUAAUUCAUAAAAAUUCUGGUUAGGUUAUGUAAAAAGAAAUUAAUUUUAAACUUAUAUGCUGUAUAUACAGUAUAUAAGCUUUUUUAUUUGUUCGUUUUUGAAAGUUUUGUUGAGUUGAACUAUGGAUCUUUGAAAAUGUCAUACCUUAUCUAAUUAUACUUCUCACGGCCAGCAUCUAUUCUAAUAAUCCUCCUUUUUUCUCCCAUAUCCUAUUUGGUCACUCUGUAAAAAUCUACAAUGUUUUGCCUCUUCAAUUAUUUAUAUACACGUGGUACGUUAUAUUAUAUACC